rnacentral:rRNA from 1 species
AUUGAACGCUGGCGGCGUGCCUAAUACAUGCAAGUCGAACGAGUGGCGGACGGGUGAGUAAUGUCUGGGAAACUGCCUGAUGGAGGGCGAUAACUACUGGAAAAGGUAGCUAAUACCGCAUACCAUCGGAUGUGCCCAGAUGGGAUUAGCUAGUAGGUGGGGUAAAGGCGCACCUAGGCGACGAUCCCCAGCUGGUCUGAGAGGAUGACCAGCCACCCUGGAACUGAGACACGGUCCAGACUCCUACGUGAGGCAGCAGGGGGGAAUAUGGCACAAUGGGCGAAAGCCUGAUGCAGCCAUGCCGCGUGUAUGAAGAAGGCCUUCGGGUUGUAAAGUACUUUCAGCGGGGAGGCGUUACCCGCAGAAGAAGCACCGGCUAACUCCGUGCCAGCAGCCGCGGUAAUAC